AUACUUUGUAUAUUAAAGUUGCCCAAUUUACGUUAAAAUAAAAGUUAAAUUGUUUUCAGUGAAAGUUAAAUUUCUUGGUUAAAAGUUUUAUCCGUUUUCAUUGAGUGUAGAUUUAAAAGUACAACUUUUUGAUAAGAAAACUGUUGAAUUGUCAAUCCACCCAGUAUCCUUUUAAGUCAAUGACAAACAACAACAAUAGAAGUUGUCAACUUGCUUUCUUUUUUGCACGAGUUUGUGUGCAGUAAAAAUUCUGGCUUCGGCUCCUAAAUCUUGUUAGCUGCUGAUACAAAAUAAUCAGUUCCCCAGAAUUUUUCGUGCGACGUUGCAAUAAGUAAAGGCACCCACUCUACGGCCAUGGCGCAAACAACCAGAAAAACACCAAGGAGAGAUCAGAUUCGGCUCGGGAUUUUUGACUGGAAGAACGACUAUGGCGCGAUAAACGGCAUUUUGAGGACAUCCGCAUGUGUCCGCGUCAACUCAAAUUAAUUAAUAAAGUUGAAGUUCAAAAUAAAUAUAUAAUAACAUAAAAUCUAAAA